CUAUACAUAUAUAUUUCAUCAUCAACAGGUAUGUAUAUAUAUAGUAUCUCUCGAAGUUGUCUUUUCUCCCUAUACGUAAACACAUGAGUGAAGUUGCGUACUCACAUAUAUAAUAUUAAAGAUUUGUGCUUUCGUUACGUACACAUCCACCAAGGUAGUUACGUAUACUUCGUUCAUAUUCACUUCGCUAAUAAGACCCGCCAGCGCCAGCCCAGCAACCAUCAGUGCGGAGAUAUUGGUUGGCAUUCUCAGACGCUUCCGCCUCUCACAUCAACUAUUUUCAAACCCCAAAAGGGAGAUCAAUCAGGUUCUAAUGAGUUUUUUUAAAUUCAUGGUACAGAAAAAGGGUCGAGCUACCACCAGGGUUAUUAAACUACCCCUGGAGAUGCUUAACCCGGUAGCAGCGACGGACCAAAUUUGUGGCCUUACCGUGUACCAGCGACGGGCCAAAUUUUUGUCAUGAUAUAAACUCCCCAACAUAUAUGAUGCAUAAACUGAUCACAAAUGCGUUGAUAUAUAUUAUGAAAUGGUGUGUGUGAGUGAUGAUUUUUUUUCAUUAAUUCGAUUAGAGGGGCCUUUAAUUAACAAACAUGAUCCCCGCAGCUACCGGGUUAAAGCGCCUACGAAAGGUUAUCAAAUAUGUGAGAUUGGGCGCCGAAAUGUUUAAAAAUAUAGCCCUUAGCCUUUUCCAGCAUCUCUUACCCACAUACAGGCAGAAAGGGAGAGGGGUUCACUUCUAAAUUCUGGUUAAGCUAAUAAAAAGGAUUAGCUUACUCUUACCAACAUCCACCAAUCAUAUGCGGUCUGAAUUGGAGAGGGGGCGUGGCUUACUUAUGUGUCAGCCAAUGAUAUGCUCUUGAUGAGGAAGGGGGAGGGGCUUGAUAGCGAAGUGAAUUUGAACAGAGGAUAGUUAGGUGAAGACACCGAACACAUCAAACCUACACAACAUCUUUGGACGUCUGUUGCACGGGACUGACUGAAUGGCUCCGGAUAGACGUAGUAUGGGUUCAUCUCCUCCUAAUCCUAUUGACUCCCUUCUCCUCCCCACAUGGCCCACCCCACACUAACUGGACAAUGAUUGGACAGACGCUUGUGCAUGUGUGUGUGUGUGUGUGUGUGUGUGUGUGUGUGUGUGUGUCAUUCACCAUGGUCUGAUCACGUGCUAAAUUCGCCAUCGCCAGCCAGUACCCAUUUCGUUUUGAGCUGUGAACUACAUAUACACGGAUUUUUGGGGUACGGCUGUGUGUGUGUGUGUGUGUGUGUGUGUGUGUAAUAUUUUUUUCCGGGACACCACAUUAAUAACACCCUGGAAACUACGGAAUAAUGAAAGACCCACAGCCCGAUUUCUCCUCACGGCGACACCACCACCACCACAACCACUACCACCACCGUAAAAAAGAAAAAAAAAGCAGAAAAAAACGAAAAAACUGCCUGGCUCGGGAAAUCACACGACGCGGAUGAAUUUAAUUUUAUCGUAAGCCAAAAAAAGUACACUGCGGUAAAAAUGAAUCAGGUGAUGUCCUUUGGCGCUACUACAGAGCUGCGUGUGUAGACUGUAAUAUCGGAAAGAUGAAAGGGCACGUGAGAGACAGGGGGUAUGAGAGGAAAUAAAGGGGCCAUAGGAGAUAAAAAGGACGGAGAUGUAGAAGGAGAGAGAAGGACACACAGGAGGAAUGGAGAGGAAAGAGGAAAGGAAAGAUGUAGAAGAAAGAUAUAUGAAGAGGGAAGAGAAGAAAAAUGUAGAAGAAAUAUAUAUGAAGAGGGAAGAGGAGAGGAAAAAUGUAGAAGAAAGAUAUAUGAAGAUGGAAAAGGUAAUAAGAACGGAGAUGUAGGAGGAGAAAGAAGGAAACACGGGAGGAAUGGAGAAAGGACAGGGAAGAGGAGAGGUGAAAGAACAAAGGAUUGAAAAGAAUAAGAAGAGGAAACCUGUAGAAGAAAAUAAAUAAGAUGGAAAAGAAGAAAGAUAAAUGAAGAUGGAAGAGGAUAAAGAGACGUAGGGAGAAACAAGAAACGGAAAGGGAAGAGGAAACAAACUUUUUUUUAUUUGGAGAGAGAGAGAGAGAGAGAGAGAGAGAGAGAGAGAGAGAGAGAGAGAGAGAGAGAGAGAGAGAGAGAGAGAGAGAGAGAGAGAGAGAGAGAGAGAGAGAGAGAGAGAGAGAGAGAUAACGAUUAGUAGAUUAAAAUAUACGGAAAAGAGACAGGGUGCGUGCCGUGUGACAUCGCGGCGGCCACACCCAAGCGGGGCCGGGGUGUCACGGACGGGCGCCGCACAUGAACAGGAGAGGGGGAGGGGGGCGUUAGCGGGGGGAGGCCUUGGACGCACUCUUCCCCCCUGCACACUGAGAGUAUACUCGUACCAGCCCCGCCAGCCCCACACGCGCGCACAGGUUCAUAACACUCGCUCUAAUAAAAGCAGAUGAGCAAUGUCGAUUUAGAUUCCCCAAACCGCCUCUUGGAUCCUGCUUUAUCACCUCCACGUUUUCAUCACCGCAGAUCCGCCGACGUAAACAUGCCCUUGACCUAUAAAGACUCCGCCGCCGCUUUCUCUUCCUUCGUCACUUUGGUUCCUAAACGUAAUCACUAAAAGUAAUCCUCACCUAUCACAAAUGCCUCCAGCUUGUUACGGCAGGCACUAGAGGGUCCAGGCAUGUCAUCCUCGGAAACGAAACCGCUUUGUCGAGUUCAAACCUUUUUAAGCCGGACUCAUCGCUCGAUCAACUUUUUUUUACAGCUACGAAUUCAAGCCAGAAUGAACCCUAACAGCAUUAUGAACUGACUAAAUGAAACAACAGUACGCGUGCCAUGAAAAUAGCUCCAGCAUUCUCAGGCAUUACAGGAACAUUUAAUACGAACCGAACUCUUCCGCCAGCCAACACCGAGGAUUAAAAAUGUGAUCGAAGAGUUUCCCCGAGCUAGGUAAAUCUAAGACCAUAUAGCUCUAUUAGGGUUCCAAGAGAGCGCUCCCUCUCUUACCAUAAAGUCGCAAGCCGGAUCGAACUCACGGCCUUUCAGUCGCAAGUCGAGCACCAAACCAGUCAGCAGGCACCCGAGCCAGCGCCGAGGAGGAAAGUCUUGGCACGCAUAAAGAGCCAGUUCAAUACACAUAAAACACCUCCCUCGGGGCAGCGCUGCGUCCUUGCCGGCCACGUCUUCGGAGAAAAAAAAAAAAAAUGAGGUCGUGCAGGCGGGCGGCGGCCUCGGCGGAGACGCGAACGGGUUCCUGGCGGUGAAAGCAGCGAGUCAAAGGAACGGAGGGAAAAUAAAUGUUAGGAAUACAUUAUCCAAGCGGCGGCGGGAAGCUGGGUAAGCCGAGUCGCAUUUCUUUCUUUUUCCUUAUUCAAAAUAUGUAUUGCAAAUGUUGAAAGGCGGUCUUACUUAUCAAAACAAGGAUAUUUAUGAAGAUGACGAAAAAAACGGAGAAAAUCAUGAAGCAGUGCGAAAAAAAAAGACAUUAUUUGUCACAACUAAGAAUCAUAAAAUAUACACGAGGUAAACAAACGCAAUAUAAUCAUGGUAGUAAUAAUAUAAUAAAAAAACAACAAAAAUUAAAAAUAAUAAUGAUAAAUAAAAUACAUGGAUGGAUUCUUACUCUUGAGAAUUAGACAGACAGGAUUCGAUUCUACAUGUAUGCGUGAGGGUGCCAGACCCGCCCCAAUACAGUGCCACCGUCUAUUGAUCCUCCGUGACAACACAGGUAGGCGACACUUGCAACGGCGAAAGGAAUCCAAUACUACGAUUGACGAUAACCCUAGAGUUUAUACUUAGACGCUAUGAUGACAUGGAGUGUUGAAUAUUUAUAGAUGAGAGUAAUAUUGUGUUACACCAAAAAUAUAGCAUUAUACAAUUAUACGAAUUUGGGUUUAGUGUGUGUGUGUGUGUGUGUGUGUGUGUGUGUGUGUGUGUGUGUGUGUGUGUGUGUGUGUUAUAAAUUGAUGAUGAUCAGACGUGAGAACCUUGAUAGCUCCUUUGGUACAAUUCCCACAUUUUCUUAAUAAUUAAUAACUGCCUCCCGUAACACUUGCUGCCUAAACACACACACACACACACACACACACACACACACACACACACACACACACACACACACACACAUACACA